rnacentral:rRNA from 1 species
UACGUAGGGCGCAAGCGUAUCCGGAAUUAUUGGGCGUAAAGAGCUCGUAGGCGGUUUGUCGCGUCUGCCGUGAAAGUCCGGGGCUCAACUCCGGGAUCUGCGGUGGGUACGGGGCAGACUAGAGUGUGGUAGGGGGAGACUGGAAUUCCUGGUGUAGCGGUGGAAUGCGCAGAUAUCAGGAGGAACACCGAUGGCGAAGGCAGGUCUCUGGGCCAUUACUGACACUGAGAAGCGAAAGCAUGGGGAGCGAACAGG